CUACGUGCCAGCAGCCGCGGUAAUACGUAGGGUGCGAGCGUUAAUCGGAAUUACUGGGCGUAAAGCGGGCGCAGACGGUUACUUAAGCAGGAUGUGAAAUCCCCGGGCUCAACCUGGGAAUUGCGUUCUGAACUGGGUGGCUAGAGUGUGUCAGAGGGGGGUAGAAUUCCACGUGUAGCAGUGAAAUGCGUAGAGAUGUGGAGGAAUACCGAUGGCGAAGGCAGCCCCCUGGGAUAGCACUGACGUUCAUGCCCGAAAGCGUGGGUAGCAAACAGGAUUAGAUACCCUGGUAGUCCACGCCCUAAACGAUGUCGAUUAGCUGUUGGGCAACUUGAUUGCUUGGUAGCGAAGCUAACGCGUGAAAUCGACCGCCUGGGGAGUACGGUCGCAAGAUUAAAACUCAAAGGAAUUGACGGGGACCCGCACAAGCGGUGGAUGAUGUGGAUUAAUUCGAUGCAACGCGAAGAACCUUACCUGGUCUUGACAU
rnacentral:rRNA from 1 species